rnacentral:rRNA from 1 species
UUCGCCCUUAGAGUUUGAUCCUGGCUCAGGACGAACGCUGGCGGCGUGCUUAACACAUGCAAGUCGAACGGAGUACCCUCGAAAGAGAUUUCGGUCAAUGGAGAGGACUACUUAGUGGCGGACGGGUGAGUAACGCGUGAGGAACCUGCCUUUCAGUGGGGGACAACAGUUGGAAACGACUGCUAAUACCGCAUAACGUACUGGUAUCGCAUGGUACUGGUACCAAAGAUUUAUCGCUGAGAGAUGGCCUCGCGUCUGAUUAGCUAGUUGGUAGGGUAACGGCCUACCAAGGCGACGAUCAGUAGCCGGACUGAGAGGUUGGCCGGCCACAUUGGGACUGAGAUACGGCCCAGACUCCUACGGGAGGCAGCAGUGGGGAAUAUUGGGCAAUGGGCGCAAGCCUGACCCAGCAACGCCGCGUGAAGGAAGAAGGCUUUCGGGUUGUAAACUUCUUUUGACAGGGAAGAGCAGAAGACGGUACCUGUCGAAUAAGCCACGGCUAACUACGUGCCAGCAGCCGCGGUAAUACGUAGGUGGCAAGCGUUGUCCGGAUUUACUGGGUGUAAAGGGCGUGUAGCCGGGCUGACAAGUCAGAUGUGAAAUCCGGGGGCUCAACCCCCGAACUGCAUUUGAAACUGUUGGUCUUGAGUAUCGGAGAGGCAGGCGGAAUUCCUAGUGUAGCGGUGAAAUGCGUAGAUAUUAGGAGGAACACCAGUGGCGAAGGCGGCCUGCUGGACGACAACUGACGGUGAGGCGCGAAAGCGUGGGGAGCAAACAGGAUUAGAUACCCUGGUAGUCCACGCUGUAAACGAUGGAUACUAGGUGUGCGGGGACUGACCCCCUGCGUGCCGCAGCUAACGCAAUAAGUAUCCCACCUGGGGAGUACGAUCGCAAGGUUGAAACUCAAAGGAAUUGACGGGGGCCCGCACAAGCGGUGGAUUAUGUGGUUUAAUUCGAUGCAACGCGAAGAACCUUACCAGGGCUUGACAUCCUACUAACGAAGUAGAGAUACAUUAGGUACCCUUCGGGGGAAGUAGAGACAGGUGGUGCAUGGUUGUCGUCAGCUCGUGUCGUGAGAUGUUGGGUUAAGUCCCGCAACGAGCGCAACCCUUAUUGUUAGUUGCUACGCAAGAGCACUCUAGCGAGACUGCCGUUGACAAAACGGAGGAAGGUGGGGACGACGUCAAAUCAUCAUGCCCCUUAUGUCCUGGGCUACACACGUAAUACAAUGGCGGUCAACAGAGGGAUGCAAAACCGUGAGGUGGAGCGAACCCCUAAAAGCCGUCCCAGUUCAGAUCGCAGUCUGCAACCCGACUGCGUGAAGUCGGAAUCGCUAGUAAUCGCGGAUCAGCAUGCCGCGGUGAAU